AUACGGAGGAUCCAAGCGUUAUCCGGAUUUAUUGGGUUUAAAGGGUGCGUAGGCGGACUGGUAAGUCAGCUGUGAAAGUUUGCGGCUUAACCGUAAAAUUGCAGUUGAUACUGUCAGUCUUGAGUGUGCAUGAGGUGGGCGGAAUUUGUGGUGUAGCGGUGAAAUGCUUAGAUAUCACGAGGAACUCCAAUUGCGAAGGCAGCUCACUGGGGCAUAACUGACGCUGAUGCACGAAGGUGUGGGUAUCAAACAGGAUUAGAUACCCUGGUAGUCCGCACAGUAAACGAUGAAUACUCGCUGUUUGCGAUACACUGUAAGCGGCCAAGCGAAAGCGUUAAGUAUUCCACCUGGGGAGUACGCCGGCAACGGUGAAACUCAAAUGAAUUGACGGGG
rnacentral:rRNA from 1 species